rnacentral:rRNA from 1 species
UACGUAGGGUGCGAGCGUUGUCCGGAAUUAUUGGGCGUAAAGGGCUCGUAGGCGGUUUGUCGCGUCGGGAGUGAAAACCCAGGGCUUAACUCUGGGCUUGCUUUCGAUACGGGCAGACUAGAGGCAUGCAGGGGAGAACGGAAUUCCGUGGUGUAGCGGUGAAAUGCGGCAGAAUAUCAGGAGGAACACCGGUGGCGAAGGCGGUUCUCUGGG